AAUAGAUACCCUGGUAGUCCACGCCGUAAACGAUGAGUGCUAAGUGUUAGGGGGUUUCCGCCCCUUAGUGCUGCAGCUAACGCAUUAAGCACUCCGCCUGGGGAGUACGGUCGCAAGACUGAAACUCAAAGGAAUUGACGGGGGCCCGCACAAGCGGUGGAGCAUGUGGUUUAAUUCGAAGCAACGCGAAGAACCUUACCAGGUCUUGACAUCCCAUUGACCGCUAUGGAGACAUAGCUUUCCCUUCGGGGACAGUGGUGACAGGUGGUGCAUGGUUGUCGUCAGCUCGUGUCGCGAGAUGUUGGGUUAAGUCCCGCAACGAGCGCAACCCUUGUUCUUAGUUGCCAUCAUUUAGUUGGGCACUCUAAGGAGACUGCCGGUGACAAACCGGAGGAAGGUGGGGAUGACGUCAAAUCAUCAUGCCCCUUAUGACCUGGGCUACACACGUGCUACAAUGGACGGUACAAACGGUUGCCAACCCGCGAGGGGGAGCUAAUCCGAUAAAACCGUUCUCAGUUCGGAUUGUAGGCUGCAACUCGCCUAC
rnacentral:rRNA from 1 species